rnacentral:rRNA from 1 species
CCUACGGGUGGCAGCAGUGGGGAAUAUUGGGCAAUGGGCGCAAGCCUGACCCAGCAACGCCGCGUGAAGGAAGAAGGCUUUCGGGUUGUAAACUUCUUUUCUCAGGGACGAAGAAAGUGACGGUACCUGCGGAAUAAGCCACGGCUAACUACGUGCAACCAGCCGCGGGAAUACGUAGGUGGCAAGCGUUAUCCGGAUUUACUGGGUGUAAAGGGCGUGUAGGCGGGACUGGAAGUCAGAUGUGAAAACCACGGGCUAAACCUGUGGCGUGCAUUUGAAACUGUAGUUCUUGAGUACGGGAGAGGCGGACGGAAGGCGGGGUGUAGCGGUGAAAUGCGUAGAUAUGAGGAGGAACACCGGUGGCGAAGGCGGUCUGCUGGACAGAAACUGACGCUGAGGCGCGAAAGCGUGGGGAGCAAACAGGAUUAGAUACCCGAGUAGUC